rnacentral:misc_RNA from 1 species
AAGUCGUAACAAGGUCUCCGUAGGUGAACCUGCGGAGGGAUCAUUACCAUCCUUUACUUGUAUGCGUCUUGGCAGUUGCUGAGACCAUACAACUCUCAACCCCGCGAAUUGAUACCCUUGUUCUCUCGAGAGCAGGGGAAACCCACUUUUUACCCACCCCUCACCUUGAUAUUAAUCUAAUCAUGUGAUAUGAAAUCUCAUACCACUCCUCCCAAUGGAUAUCUUGGCUCUC